CGUCAUUGUUAAACGUCUCGACAUCCGAUAUGUGGCUACAAAUCCAAGUAUUGAAAUGGCGAGAAUUACAGCACCCAACAUAAGAAGAAAAACUCCACAUGCGCUAACGAAUUCUUUAAAAUUAAUGUCCAUUAGUGGGUCUGCAUGUGUAACAUUUGGUGGGUGCAUUAUUUCUACACCUGGGAAAACGUUGAUUGCUAGUAACA
rnacentral:lncRNA from 1 species